AGCAUGCGCUGGGGCGGUUCCCGGCCGAGUGUGGAGCGGCUGGGAUAAGGAUCAGCACCUCCAAAUCUGAGGCCAUGGUUCUCAGCAGGAAACCAAUGGAUUGCCUACUACAGGUAAGGAA